GCUCCGGUGGUGUAGCCCGGCCAAGCAUAUCGGCCUUUCACGCCGAUGACGUGGGUUCGAAUCCCGCCCGGAGCA
rnacentral:tRNA from 1 species